rnacentral:rRNA from 1 species
UACGGAGGAUGCGAGCGUUAUCCGGAUUUAUCGGGUUUAAAGGGUGCGUAGGCGGACAGUCAAGUCAGCGGUAAAAUUGAGAGGCUCAACCUCUUCCCGCCGUUGAAACUGGUGGUCUUGAGUGGAUGAGAAGUACGCGGAAUGCGUGGUGUAGCGGUGAAAUGCAUAGAUAUCACGCAGAACUCCGAUUGCGAAGGCAGCGUACCGGCAUCCAACUGACGCUGAGGCACGAAAGCGUGGGGAUCAAACAGG